ACUCAUCCUCUGUCUGAUGAAUUGAGGUCACUGGGUCCCAUCUCCAAAGGGAAAUGUAGCUUCAUGCUGCCGUGAGACUGGAAAUUUCAUUCCUUUUUAUGAAAGUAGGUCAGGCACCAGACGUUUUCGGGGCUGGGGUCUUUUCGUGGCGAAGUCCCAGCGGGCAGGGCAGCAGCUGGCUCCAGUGUAUGCGUACCCACCCACCCUGCCCGGCCAGCCUGUGGGCUGCCUCCUUCACUGCGGCUGAGGGCAGAGAAUACAAUGCCUUUUCUAUGGCUCCCACAUGCCCCAUCUUGCUGGGAUUUUUCAAAUUUCUCUGUGGAAGCUCUUUACGGUCCGUGACCCUGGCCGCUGCCGAGCCGAAAAGACAACAGAUUUAUGGUGGGCCUGGAGAGCAAGAAUCCAAGGAUGGCGUUUUCCCUGCUUUCGGGACUCCGGCAGCUGCAUUACCUACCUUAUAUCAGACCUUCUACAAGAUAAAGACCACUGCUCUGCAAGAAUGGGUGCUGCAGUGCGGAAUACAGACGUUGGUAACCUGCAUACUCCCCUUAAGGCUCUCAGAGUGAUGGAUGGAGGUGGUGAGUACAGGUGUAAUGCACGAAGAGUUGGAUGAUGGUACAGAGGUAUGUGAGUUCAGUGGCAACUAAUGGAGCUGCCAGCCUGGGCAGUGGCACUGGAACUCCAAGGUGAGAAGAGCCUUGAAGAGUGAAUGCAUCUACGAAAGCAUCUUUGAGGAAGUGGAAUUUGCCCUGGCCCUAAAACCUGGUUUAUCUGGAGCCGGACAUCUCAAUUCAAUUAGUUUUAAUAGCAAACAGUUAUCACAUAUGAUAAAGAUGCAUCAGAAGACCAGGCUCAUGGCACCUUGGUGUCCAGACUCCAUCUCUGCUUCCCUGUGGUUACUCUCAAAUUUGUUCUCUUCCGAACUUGGAUAGUAGCAUAUGACACAACAGUUCCGGGAUCCAAAUCCAGGUGGGACACAACACCCAGAGGAAGAAUGGGACCCUCUCUUUCUGCUUCCUUCUUAGGAGCAAGGAAAACAUUCCCAGAAUUCCUCCACAGCUGAUUUUCCCUGAUUGACCAGAAUUGCAUAGUGUCCAGUACUAAACCAAUCACUGGCAAAAGGAAGGCAAUUACUCUGACUGGCUUGUUCCAAUUAGGAUUUAUUCUUGGAGAUGGGGAUGGGAUGGGUUUGGGAAGGUGUGGCUUUCUGAAAAUAAUUUGGGUUCCCUUAGAAAGCAGAAGGACCAGAAUGACAUUGUGCUGUAGGCCACUGAGUAUGUUAUGCACAAAGAUUUACUUUGCAUAAUUAAAAUGGGGAGAGGACCCACUAAACAGGGGCAAAGUGAGGAUGCCUCAUUUGAGGAGAAAAGAUUAAUUUGGCUGAAGCUUGAAGGUAGGAGGAGGUGCUACACCCAGAAGAGGAUCAUACCUGGGCUGUUGGUAUCCUCUGCCUGAAGCAUCCCUCAGAACUUUGGCUUGAAUGCCCCCCCUGUGCCCACUGAGUGCACGUAUUGGGUGCUGAUGUGUUUCUGGUGAGCUGAUAUUCUGGCUAAAGGUGGGAUGGAU
ensembl:lncRNA